rnacentral:rRNA from 1 species
GGGUGCGAUCAUACCAGCGUUAAUGAACCAGAUCCCAUCAGAACUCUGCAGUUAAGAGUGCUUGGGCUAGAGUAGUACUGGCAUGGGUGACCUCUCGGGAAGUCCUAGUGUUGCACCCU